GGAUUGAACCCAGUGCCUCACACAUGCUAGGCGAGUGCUCUACCACUGAGCCUCAACCGCAGCCUGAGUGUAGAUUUCUUGGUUGGCCAGUGAAAAUCCCCAUGUCUCAUGAAGACACACAUUUGCCAAAGACAUGGCCCCACCCACCUUUUUGCUGCUCCUCACCUCUUUCCCACCUGGCUCUUUAGCCACACUAUUUCCUACCUUAUGGUCUAGAAUUCUUGCCCAAGAGCAUCAGAUGCCCCUCUGAAUCCCCAGUUUGGAUUAGACGAUUCACUGACGACAGCUGCACAGGGUGCCAGGGUAGGCUCUCCCUGAUUUCCAGGAACUCACUUGGGCAGGGAAAGGGAUCUCCAGGAGACAUGGGGAGACUUUCACUGGCCUACCAAGAAAUCUGCACAGCAUCAGGGGACCUAUGAUACACAUUCUCUUACUUCCUUGGCAGGACAUCUGUCUUCUCCCUGAAUUUGCAGUUUUCAUACUGGGGAGGGCAUAUGUGUCUUCACAUGUGAAAAAAGCAAAUCCUGAGUGAACUCAUUUCCUCUUUCAUUGGUACGAGAACACUGAGUCUGGAUUACUUCAGAUUCCUGACAAGGUGUGAGGGCUGUUGGCUCUCUUCUGCUCCAUCCAGGAGGGUUUUGGAACAAAGGUAGGACAAAUUUCCUGCCCAGAUUCUUGGCCUCAGGAGACUAUUAGGCCCAGAAUGACCCCCACCCUUCAAGGAGAAACAGCUUGUAUAGAUUUGCAAAAAGAAGGCCUGGAAGCAGGAGGAGGUGUGGAGUUGGAUGCAGACUAUGGAGGGCAGGUGGACCAAUGGCAGACUACCAUGAAGGCUGCGUGGGGCUCCAGGAAGAGCCUGCCCAGCCGUGGGGUCAGGGAAUCCUGGCAGUGGGUAUGGCCUGGUGGAAGCCAUCCACCAGUUAUGCAUAAAGCAGUUUCCUAAAUUCAAUGGAACUUGAACUGGAUGACACUAAAAGAUCCUAGUCACUAGGCUUCAGAACUUCCUUUCAAUAAUUAUUAAAAUAAGAUGGUUGGGCAGGAAUCACUUAUUUAUGCAACCUGAAAUGCACCUGCUUCCAUGCUCAGGGAUAAAAGACAUCCCCUGGGGGGCUGGGAUUGUGGCUCAGUGGCAGGGCACUCGCCUAGCAUGCAUGAGGCACUGGGUUCGAUCCUCAGAACCACAUAAAUAUAAAAUAAAAGAUAUUGUGUCCACCUAAAACUAAAAAAUAAAUAUUUUUUUUUUAAAAAGACAUCCCCUGGCUGAGAGUCCAAACUCCAGGAAGCAAGAAUUGGUUUCAGUGCAGUGACCAGUGCCUUGAGGCAGGGAAGAAAUGGCAAACACUGGGGAGGAAAGGAUCCCCAACAUGCCUUCUCUUCUUUCUCAGCAGUAGGACCUACAAAUUAAAACUGAAAUAUGUGGCCCAAAAUGAAGACCACAUCUCCCAACUUCCUUGCUGCAGAAUGAACCUAUAUUGCUAGGCUCUGUUCAAUGGGACAUAAGUACAAAAUAAAUGUAAUUUCUAUGAAGUGCUCUAAGAGAGAGAAAAUUUGCCUUUCUCCCCAUUUCAUGUUCAUAUCAGCGGGAAUGUAUAACUGGAGUAGCCAUCUUGAACUUUGAGAUGGCAAACUAUGUGUUACAAAUGAUGAAGCAUAAACAGGAGCCUGGUUCCUUAGUGAUAAUGAACCUUCUUAUUUAGGCUGCUAUUAUUUGAGCUUUUUCUACACUCACAGCUAAACCUAAAAUCACCUUUAAAAGAAGCCACUGCUUAACACCACUGAACUGAACACAUAACUGGGUGUAUAGUUCAGUAGUGGCUAGCAUGCAUGAGGCCCUGGGUUCAACCUCUGGUACUGGAAAAAAAAAAAUAGCUACCUGAACUAUACACUUAAAAGUAGGUAAGAUGUUCUACUACAAAAUAAAUUAAUUAAUAAAUUUAGGAAAAAAAGUGGGUAAGAUGGCAAGUUUUGAUUGAAAAAAGGAAGCCUGAAGUCAUAUUCCUGGAGACAAAAUGCAGAAUGAAAGUUGCCAGGGGUUGAGACGGAACAGAAAUGGGGAGUUAUAGGGUUCUGUGGAUGAACUGUGGUGAUGUAAUACAACAAUGUGAAUGUAUUUAACACUGCUAUACUUUAUUUUUAAAGAGAGUUGAGAUGGCAAAAUUUUUGUUAAAUAUAUUUUACACAAUUAAAAACUAUACAAAAUAGACAGAACCCUACCUUGAAGAGGACAGUGGAACUCUGGGCGCUAGUGGAACCAUAGACUGAAACCUCUGAAACCAAAAUGAGCCAAAAUAAAUCUUUCCCCUUUGUAGGCUGUUUAUCUUAUUUGGUUAUCUUAUUUUGUCACAGUGAUGAAAAGCUGAUAACACACCCAAUAGAACUUAUUUUCCCAGUGUCAUCCUGCACCCCUGUAACUCUAGCAA
rnacentral:lncRNA from 1 species